rnacentral:lncRNA from 1 species
CUCAUGACCUAUGCCCCUGCCACGUCAGACUUCUUACGGCUCCCUCUGCAUUCCGUGCUGAGUCUUAUCUCCGGGGUUCUGUAUGUAGCAUUUCUCCUCCCUUCGUCUUUUUGUCCACCAGGCCCUGGGGACCCCAGGAGCUCCCAGUGAUCCGGCAAUUAAAGGGUUACUGCCUGUUCCAGCAGGAGGCCUCCCGGGACCCUGUCCCAGCGCUUUGGCUCUAUCCAUUUGCGUUCAGCAGCUUCUAUGAAGGCAAGGAUACAGUCUUUCCCAACGGAGAAUCCCCAGCAUCCAGCACAGAAUCGAAAAUGAAGGUUAUCAUAAGUCCAAGAGAAAACACGAAUAUUUCAAGAGAAACUCCUAUAAUCUUGAUGUUCACGGAGUGCCACAGACUCCUUUGUCCAUGAGUAGUGAAAAUGUGAAGGAAGAGAACCUACUUUUGAAUCAAAGAGACUGGGGCCCUGCCAGUGACCAGCGUGUGACUCUCAGAAACCACCUAACCUCUCUGGGCCUUAGUUUGCCUCAUUUGUAGACUGGGCACAAUGUUACCACCCUUCAGGUUUGUGCCAAGGAUUAGAGUUUAUGGGUGCAAAGCCCUUGUCACAGUGCCCGGCAGGUCGUGGCUGCUCAGGAAACAAUAGCCGUAAUCGUUAUUAGCAUCGUUGUGUCCGUGAUUCAGAGGACACCAGCUUUUUCCAUCAAAGUUUUCACUUUGAAACUGAUAAAAUGUCAGAGCUACCAAAGAGGAGUUUGUAAAAUGCAUGUCAGAAUUUCUAAGACCACAAAUAUACAAUUCCAAGCUGAACAAUAAUUUUCUGCCUAUCAUUUUGGGGCCAGUAUAUGUUGAUUUUAGAUGGGAAUUCUUUGAUUUUUUUUUUUAGCAUCAUUGGGUAUGGAAAUCCUGUACUAGUACCAGACAUCAAAACAAUUUACAUAGCUGUAUUUGUGAGAUAAUGUAAAUUCCAUAGAAAAUCGUGUUUGAAUGAUUAUAAAUGUUAUUCCAGUAUCAGCCCAAGAUUUUUAAAUAAUUAAUUUAGCUAUUAAAUUUAACAUUAUUUAAAUAUAAUCAAAAUGAUCUAAAUGUAUCUUUUGAAUAUUUUGAACUUUGCAAGUUGAUUUCAUUGUAUACGUUGACAGCUGAGGUAGCCUGUCUCAUAAAGCUAUAUUAAAUCUUGAAAAAAAUGAAACAACUUAGAAAAAUCUUUCCAAAUUCUGUGAAAUGACUUUCUAUUUAUUGUUCACAUGUAGCUCAGAAUAUUUUAAUGUAUGCAUGUACGCUAAAAUAAUCAAAAUUAUAUAUUCUAAAACCACGCCUUGAGUUUCUAUAACACAAGUGACACACGCUCUGGAAUGGGGUUUGAGGAGCACAUUUAGUAAGCUGAUUAAUGACUCUCCGUAAUACAGGAUUUAAAGUCUUCUUCCAAAGCAUAUUUAUCUGUUUUAUUUCUCAUGAAACUUUGAAUUUUAUUUGAGUACC